AGCAUAAAAAAAUCUAUGUUACGGCCAUAGAAUAGAUGGCAAAGCCAUCAUAUGCUU
rnacentral:tRNA from 1 species